UAAUAGGCUAAAUUAAGGUCUGUUUGGAAGGUUUGUGUAUCAACUCAAUUAACUCCACAGUAAUAGACAUUGCAUAAUAGAUUUUUUCAACCCACUAAAAGUUAACAGAUGUAUUACAUUUAUUUGCAUAAGGUUACUUUCUAUCUAACGUAGCUCAUAUUGUUAAAAUUCAAAAUCAUUCAAAUAUUCUAGUCAUAUCCAUAUAAUAAUUCGACGAUUUCAAAAUUACUUUCUUAACAAAACUUUUGAAUCUAAUGCUUUUCCUGUGUUUUCUAUUAUUGGAAUAAAUUAAUG
rnacentral:lncRNA from 1 species